rnacentral:rRNA from 1 species
CGCUGAAGGAGGAGCUUGCUUCUCUGGAUGAGUUGCGAACGGGUGAGUAACGCGUAGGUAACCUGCCUGGUAGCGGGGGAUAACUAUUGGAAACGAUAGCUAAUACCGCAUAAGAGUAGAUGUUGCAUGACAUUUACUUAAAAGGUGCAAUUGCAUCACUACCAGAUGGACCUGCGUUGUAUUAGCUAGUUGGUGGGGUAACGGCUCACCAAGGCGACGAUACAUAGCCGACCUGAGAGGGUGAUCGGCCACACUGGGACUGAGACACGGCCCAGACUCCUACGGGAGGCAGCAGUAGGGAAUCUUCGGCAAUGGACGGAAGUCUGACCGAGCAACGCCGCGUGAGUGAAGAAGGUUUUCGGAUCGUAAAGCUCUGUUGUAAGAGAAGAACGAGUGUGAGAGUGGAAAGUUCACACUGUGACGGUAUCUUACCAGAAAGGGACGGCUAACUACGUGCCAGCAGCCGCGGUAAUACGUAGGUCCCGAGCGUUGUCCGGAUUUAUUGGGCGUAAAGCGAGCGCAGGCGGUUAGAUAAGUCUGAAGUUAAAGGCUGUGGCUUAACCAUAGUACGCUUUGGAAACUGUUUAACUUGAGUGCAAGAGGGGAGAGUGGAAUUCCAUGUGUAGCGGUGAAAUGCGUAGAUAUAUGGAGGAACACCGGUGGCGAAAGCGGCUCUCUGG